rnacentral:rRNA from 1 species
UCGCGGCCUAUCAGCUUGUUGGUGAGGUAAUGGCUCACCAAGGCGACGACGGGUAGCCGGCCUGAGAGGGUGACCGGCCACACUGGAACUGAGACACGGUCCAGACUCCUACGGGAGGCAGCAGUGGGGAAUAUUGCACAAUGGACGAAAGUCUGAUGCAGCAACGCCGCGUGAGGGAUGAAGGCCUUCGGGUUGUAAACCUCUUUUAGUAGGGAAGAAGCGAAAGUGACGGUACCUGCAGAAAAAGCACCGGCUAACUACGUGCCAGCAGCCGCGGUAAUACGUAGGGUGCAAGCGUUGUCCGGAAUUAAUGGGCGUAAAGAGCUCGUAGGCGGUUUGUCGCGUCUGCUGUGAAAAUCCAAGGCUCAACCUUGGACCUGCAGUGGGUACGGGCAAGCUAGAGUGCGGUAGGGGAGAUGGGAAUUCCUGGUGUAGCGGUGGAAUGCGCAGAUAUCAGGAGGAACACCAAUGGCGAAGGCACAUCUCUGGGCCGUAACUGACGCUGAGGAGCGAAAGCGUGGGGAGCGAACAGGAUUAGAUACCCUGGUAGUCCACGCCGUAAACGGUGGGUGCUAGUUGUGGGCCACAUUCCACGUGGUCUGUGACGAAGUUAACACAUUAAGCACCCCGCCUGGGGAGUACGG